rnacentral:rRNA from 1 species
GAGUUUGAUCAUGGCUCAGAUUGAACGCUGGCGGCAUGCUUUACACAUGCAAGUCGGACGGCAGCACAAAGAAGCUUGCUUCUUGGGUGGCGAGUGGCGAACGGGUGAGUAACGCAUCGGAACGUACCGAGUAGUGGGGGAUAACUGUCCGAAAGGAUGGCUAAUACCGCAUACGCUUUGAGAAGGAAAGCGGGGGAUCUUCGGACCUCGCGCUAUUCGAGCGGCCGAUGUCUGAUUAGCUAGNUGGUGGGGUAAAGGCCUACCAAGGCGACGAUCAGUAGCGGGUCUGAGAGGAUGAUCCGCCACACUGGGACUGAGACACGGCCCAGACUCCUACGGGAGGCAGCAGUGGGGAAUUUUGGACCNAUGGGCGCAAGCCUGAUCCAGCCAUGCCGCGUGUCUGAAGAAGGCCUUCGGGUUGUAAAGGACUUUUGUCAGGGAAGAAAAGCUUGAGGCUAAUACCCUUGAGUGAGGACGGUACUCUGAAGAAUAAGCACC